rnacentral:rRNA from 1 species
AGUGAACGCUGGCGGCAGGCCUAACACAUGCAAGUCGAGCGGCUGAAGGGAAAUUGCUCCUGGAUUCAGCUGCGGACGGGCGGGUGAGUCCGAGGAAUAUGCGUGUUAGUGGGGGCUAACGUCCGAACACGGGCGCUAAUACGGCAUACGUCCUGACGGAGAACGUGUGGGAUCUUCGGACCUCAGGCUAUCACAUGAUCCUAGGUCGGAUUAGCUAGUUGGUGGGGUAAAGGCCUACCACGGCGACGAUCCGUAACUGGUCUGAGAGGAUGAUCAGUCACACUGGAACUGAGACACGGUCCAGACUCCUACGGGAGGCAGCAGUGGGGAAUAUUGGACAAUGGGCGAAAGCCUGAUCCAGCCAUGCCGCGUGUGUGAAGAAGGUCUUCGGAUUGUAAAGCACUUUAAGUGGGGAGGAAGGGCAGUAAGUUAAUACCUUGCUGUUUUGACGUUACCAACAGAAUAAGCACCGGCUAACUUCGUG